rnacentral:lncRNA from 1 species
UCUCUCCCAGGCCACAAGACAUUUCCUGCUCGGAACCUUGUUUACUAAUUUCCACUGCUUUUAAGGCCCUGCACUGAAAAUGCAAGCUCAGGCGCCGGUGGUCGUUGUGACCCAACCUGGAGUCGGUCCCGGUCCGGCCCCCCAGAACUCCAACUGGCAGACAGGCAUGUGUGACUGUUUCAGCGACUGCGGAGUCUGUCUCUGUGGCACAUUUUGUUUCCCGUGCCUUGGGUGUCAAGUUGCAGCUGAUAUGAAUGAAUGCUGUCUGUGUGGAACAAGCGUCGCAAUGAGGACUCUCUACAGGACCCGAUAUGGCAUCCCUGGAUCUAUUUGUGAUGACUAUAUGGCAACUCUUUGCUGUCCUCAUUGUACUCUUUGCCAAAUCAAGAGAGAUAUCAACAGAAGGAGAGCCAUGCGUACUUUCUAAAAACUGAUGGUGAGUCAAUGCAAACAUGCCUCUCAGAACAUGUGGGUUUUUAGAAAUAUCACUAAAGACUUUGUCAAUUAUUUGUUGUUUUGAAUAAUUCAGCAAUAACUAUUUCUUAAGUCUCCUGAAGUGCUAUCAUAAUAUCAAGAUUGGCUUUAAUUUUCUUCUUAUGAAGAAGAUAGCUCUAUACUUUGAAACCAUAUUUUAGUAAAUAAAGGAAUGGUGAAUUUUCUAAACUUCUCAGAAUUCUGGUGAUCUAUUAAGGAAGCACUUACCACUUGUAAAAUACCAGAGUAUGGUGAGAUACAAAAGAAUUAGAAAACAUGUUCCCUGCUAAGACAAACAAGUUGACAAAAGGAAUUCGUAAAUAAUUAUAAAAUAGAAGAGUAAAGAAAAUAACAUUCUGUAUGAUAUUUGGAUUGAUUGUGGCAUAAAGCAUCUAUCAUAGCAAGGUGAGGUUAAAUAGAAAACUCCUGUUGGAGAAGCUGAACUUUGAAAGAGGUGAACAUAGAAUUUAGAAUGUUUGGAAAUGUUAUAUAGAAUUAACCAUCUGAAAUUCAAUCAAGUCAUUUUCAACUAAUUUUUCUCAGGACUAUCUAUUGAGGAUGUAGUUAAGUAGAAAUCAACAUGACUUACUCCAUCCCCUGUAGAAUAUAUAUUAAGUAUGGGAAGAACACAAUUUUUCUACUCUUUGUAAUAUCCAGUUUCCUUCCUGAAGUGAUAAGGACUCUGUAUGGGUUAAUAAAAAUAACUCUUGGGAGAUACGUAAAAAAAUGUUCAUUUACUUAGCAAGUAAUGUAUUAAGGAUCUAGGAUCAAGUAUAUAUUAUCUUAGCAACUAAUGUAUCAAUGUAUCAAUAUCUAAGACUAGGUAAGAUACUGUUAGGUAUUGUAGUAGGGUUGGGGAGCAAGAUAAAUAAGCUAGUCCCUCUGUCAUUAUAGAAUUUAUACGAAAAAGGGGGAUUAGACAAACCCCUAACUAAAAUGCAGAAUUCAAUUAAUGCCUAUAGACAAAGCGGUAUUUUAUGUUCAGAGGAGGAAAAGAUCACAUCUUGUAAGAUGUAUAGGUGAAAGUUUCUUGAAAGCAGUGAUUUUUAAUUCUAAAGGGGAAGUGCGUAUUAGUUCUCAACAAGAAACAGAUGGCACUCAAACUGUGAUAGUUCAAAGAUUUAAUGAAGACUAAUUAUAAAGGUGUGGGUGGGGCAUUGUAGGGAGAUGACAAGGGAUGGCAUAAUAACCUGCCUGGCAACAGCCCCAGGGAGGAGAAGAGGGAGCAGUGACCUGAAUCCUUAAGGAGAGAGCUGUGUGAAGAGGCCUGCCCUGAAAGAAACAGUAUCCUCUCAAGAGAGGGUUGUGAGCAGCCCGAGGCAACCCAUAGAACUGAAAAAGUACCCUGACCUCACUUUCGGAUGUCCUUCUGGUUUUCCCAUUGGCUGAACCCACCAGAAAGGCAGAGGGCAGCAAAGUGUCACGGUAGUCCGCAGGUCGCUUCCCAGGGCACACAGCAGGAUGGUCAAGGGAGUAAGUAAAUCAGAUAGGGGCAAACAGAGGAUCACUGACUCAAGAUGUGGUUUUAAUUAAUAGAAAUGGAGGCUGAGUGCAGUGGCUCACACCUGUGAUCCCAGCACUUUGGGAGGCCAAGGCAAGAGGACUGCUUGAACCCAGGAGUUCAAGACCAGCCUGGGGAACAUGUUGAAACCCUGUCUCUUGAAAAAAUACAAAAAUUAGCUAGGUGUGGUGGUGCACGCCUGUAGUCCCAGAUACUUGGGAGGCUGAGGUGGGAGGAUCACUUGAGCCUGGGAGGUAGAAGCUGCAGUGAGCUAUGAU